AUACGGAGGGUGCAAGCGUUAAUCGGAAUUACUGGGCGUAAAGCGCGCGUAGGCGGAUAUUUAAGUCUCAUGUGAAAGCCCUGGGCUCAACCUGGGAACUGCAUGGGAUACUGGGUAUCUAGAAUACAGUAGAGGGUAGUGGAAUUUCAGGUGUAGCGGUGAAAUGCGUAGAGAUCUGAAGGAACAUCAGUGGCGAAGGCGACUACCUGGACUGAUAUUGACGCUGAGGUGCGAAAGCGUGGGUAGCAAACAGGAUUAGAAACCCUAGUAGUCC
rnacentral:rRNA from 1 species